CUGGGAUUGUAGUCCCGCAGCUCUGCCACCAACAGCCAGAAGCAGUUAAAAAACUGUUCCUCUCAGCAUGCCCUGCAAGGCGCGCACCGCUGCUGUACCUCCCUUAACGUAUCCGUAACCUCCCUCAACGUAUCCGUACCUCCCUCAACGUAUCCAUACCUCCCUCAAGGUAUCCGUACCUUCCUCAAGCUAUCCGCACCACCCUCUCUUCCAUUUCAUGCGAAGAUUGUAGUCCCGCAGCCCUGCGACCAGCGGCCGGAAGCAGCUAAGAUGCUACUGCUCCCAGCAUGCCCCGCGAGGCGCGCACAGCACAGGCCCUCUCUCAAGGUCACCACCUCCACUCCCGUUGUAUGCUGGGAUUGUAGUCCGGCCGCCCUGUGACUAACGGCUGGAACCGCCUAAGACACCACCCCAGCCAGCAUGGCCGGCAGGAGCGCACCGCGCUGUCUCCCUCCAGGGAUCCGCACCGCCCUACAAUCCUGCUUUGUGCUGAGAUUGUAGUCCUGCAGGCGUACAACUAACAAGCUGGGUGCAGAUAAGAGACUACAGCUCCCCGCAUCCCAAGCAAAGGUCCCUCCUCUACGGAGCCCCUCCACGCGUCCACUGCGGUUCCGCCGUGCCAAGGGGAGCUUGGCUGUUCACGGGCCUCACCUGCUAGCGAGAAGAUAGCUUGGCCGGGCGGCUGAUCUCACCUUGUAAUUCUGACACUGUGUCUCCCGGGCUUGUCGGCUUCAUGACUUGUGCCCAAAGUUUGAUUUCUCGCAGACCAGGAGGACCCAUUGGACCCCCGGGCUGGCUGCAGGGCCCACACCUGGGUUAGACCUCGCACAGGGACGCUGCUGCCACUGUAAUAAAGCGUGCCUACACGCUUCUGAAACUGGUGUAGGAACAACCUCAGUUCUGUGAAAGGCGGACGCAGCAGGACAGAAUCUCCGUGGACAUCUGUCUGGAGGAGCAAUUUUACUGCGACAUUUUAAAGAAACAAAUUUAAUUGAUUUCCAAGGCUGGAGUGUGACAAAGGAAAAUCUAAAAGGUCAACUUCAUUUACAGGAAAGAGCAUAGGAAAACAGACAAAAGAACAAAGAAGAAAAACAAUAGCAAGUCACUCUAAGUACUGUGGAAAUAAACUAAAUGUCAGGUUAGGAAUAGAACAGUGAAAGAAGGUCCCAGUAGUCCCAAGGACUCGGGAGGCUGAGACACGAAGACUGCCCAGGUGAGACUACAGAGACUGAAGUUGCAGUGAAUCAUCACAUCCUGCUACUGGACUUGAACAGUACUGCUGCUGAUGAGAGCCAUCUGGGCGACCUUCGACAUGGCAAGGUGCGAGCCAUCUGAUCAGCCUUAGACAUGGCAAGGCAAGAGCCAUCUGGUCAACCUUAGAAGUGACAAGGGACAGCCACCUGGUCGACCUUUGACAUGGCAGGAUGACAGCCAUCUGGUCGACCUUAGAGAUGGGAAUGCAAGAGGCUUCAGGUCCACCUUCAACAUGGUAAGGCUAAAGCCAUCUUGUCCAGCUUAGACAUGGCAAGGCAAGAGCCAUAUGGUCCACCUUAGUCAUGGGAAGGCAAGAGCCAUCUUGUUGACCAUAGACAUGGCAAGGUGAAAGCCAUCUUGGUCAACCUUAGACAUAGGAAGUUGAGAGCCACAUGGUCUACUUAAGGCAUGGCAAGGCAACAAGCAUCUGGUCAACCUCAAACAUGGCAAGGCAAGAGCCAUCUGGUCAACAUUAGAGAUGGUAAUGCAAGAGGCUUCAGAUCCAUCUUAGACAUGGUAAGGCAAGAAGCAUCUCAUCUAGCUUAGACAUGGCAAAUCAAGAGCCAUGUGGUCCA
rnacentral:lncRNA from 10 species